rnacentral:rRNA from 1 species
UACGGGGGGGGCAAGCGUUGUUCGGAAUUACUGGGCGUAAAGGGCUCGUAGGCGGCCAACUAAGUCAGACGUGAAAUCCCUCGGCUUAACCGGGGAACUGCGUCUGAUACUGGAUGGCUGGAGUUUGGGAGAGGGAUGCGGAAUUCCAGGUGUAGCGGUGAAAUGCGUAGAUAUCAGGAGGAACACCUAUUGCGAAGGCAGCUCGCUGGGACGUAACUGACGCUGAGACGCGAAAGCGUGGGGAGCAAACAGG